AUUGAACGCUGGCGGAAUGCUUUACACAUGCAAGUCGAGCGGCAGCGCGGGGGCAACCCUGGCGGCGAGCGGCGAACGGGUGAGUAAUACAUCGGAACGUGUCCUUAAGUGGGGGAUAGCUCGGCGAAGGCCGGAUUAAUACCGCAUAAGCUCUGAGGAGGAAAGCGGGGGCUCCGUAAGGACCUCGCGCUGUUGGAGCGGCCGAUGUCGGAUUAGCUAGUUGGUGGGGUAAAGGCCCACCAAGGCGACGAUCCGUAGCUGGUCUGAGAGGAUGAUCAGCCACACUGGAACUGAGACACGGUCCAGACUCCUACGGGAGGCAGCAGUGGGGAAUUUUGGACAAUGGGGGCAACCCUGAUCCAGCCAUUCCGCGUGAGUGAAGAAGGCCUCGGUUGUAA
rnacentral:rRNA from 1 species